ncrna:unclassified sequences L2-Alphaproteobacteria ribosomal protein leader
GGCCACCUUCGGGGGGCUUUACCAUAGCAAGGCAUUGCCUUGCGAUAGCAAACGGAAGACAGAAA